UAAAGAAAAAUUUUGGAUAAAUUCCAUAUUUCUAAGUGGUGUUCAAUAUUUAAUAUUUAUCUAUGAUUGUAAACCUUCAUCUGUCGCACAGGGUAUAGGCGAGCCUUCAUAUUCAUUUACUAAUGUAUGCAUAUAUGUAUGAUAUUGUGCACGAAUUCCGUUUGCUGCCCAAGCUCCGCUCCUGUAUCCUCUGCAAAUGCUGGAUUUGCGCGGCUGUUGGCGCAUGCGAUGGCAACGUCGAGCCGUGUGCACUGCCCGCUGCCGAGGUGUUGGCCGCAUGCGAUGGAUGAUGAUGAUGGGUGGGCGUGCCCGCACCAUUAUUGCCCACUUGCUGUGGCAACGAUUGUCGUCGGCGUCGCAGUGCUGGACUCAGAUUGUACGUGAUUUUCGCCUGUGAAAGCAGCUCUUUGAAGACCUGCGGGCAAGUGGAGUUAAAUAAAUGUUUAGAAUCUAAAGUGACCACCGAUUCUGUGGUGGCGUACUCGACCUAAUUGAUGGAGAAGAGAAGGGAUGCUUUGGUUAUUAUGGAAAUGUGAGAAGCAGUCAUAUAAGGCUAAGGUUAAUUUGAGCUUCGGAGUUGAUUUAUGUGAUAGAUAACAACGAGGAUUUCACUUGGAUUGUUGAAACUCCGAUCCGGUGUCUAGAAACCCUUAUGUAACGACAAAAAGCUUCAAGCCUUUCACAAAUCUACUGCAGAUCGAUUUCUACUGAAAUUUUGUAGGAUCUGUAGGCCCUAGAGACAUCGACUGGCCAUCGAAAAUCUAUAAAGACUUGCUAAAGUCAGCUGAAGACUAAUAGGAUAAGGUCAUAUUUUGAUUUAAUCCUGUUGAAUAUUGUCUAUUUAUAUCUUCCUCCAUCCCUCAGUAACACAUCACCUUUAAGUGACACUAAAACUAACCUAAAUCUUUCCAAACCUCUUAAACCGAAUUUAAUAAUCUUAAAUAACUAACUAUGAACCCAGAGUCCAAUAAACAAGAGGAAAUUAAAACUAAAACCACAACAAAUGUCUUCGAAUUAAGCGAAAACGACUUAUCUUCCAGACUAAGAGCUCUACAAGUUGGCUCAUUAAACAAAGUGAAAGAAAUAUGCGAAAGAUCUACUGGAAUUCCAUUAUGUCAACGAAUGAAUUAAAUCAUAUAAUAAUUGAAGCGACAAAGAAUCUAUUAAAUCAAAUACGUACACACACGCACGCACAUAUGUAGUCUUUAUAUGAAAGUUAAGUUGUCUGACAAAGCGUCAGGUCAGUGCGAAAUGAUGAGUGUGACAGGAGGAAGCAACAAUUUAACAACAACAGUGUGAGAGAGAGUGAGAGUGGGCGAAAAGGAAAAUCCCUCAAAAUCCCUGCUUUUAUAUAUUGUAGUGGGCGGGACAAUAAAAUGAGGCGUUGAAAAUACAACGAAAACAGCAAAGAGGACCAAACGGUAAUCUGAAGAGCAACAGUAACUGAAAUUAUCGGUAUUUACCAGAAGCUGAAAUUUAUAGCUCAUGGCUCGUUUGUUGUCUAGCAUAAAGUGGAGGAGCGAGGAGCGUUGUGAACGGUUUGACCCACAGCGAAGGCUGGGUGAUAUAUGUAUAUAUAUAUUGUACAUAUGUGUAUGCAUCAAUAUAAUAUAUAUCGUCAAGGCAGCACGUCCAUCCUAGCAUUUGUGUGUAUGUAUGUAGAUACCUUUGUCUUCAAAAUAAAGUUGCUUACAUUGCACGAAAUCAAGCGACAGGAUUU